CGAACGGGUGAGUAACGCGUGAGGAACCUGCCUCAAAGAGGGGACAACAGUUGGAAACGACUGCUAAUACCGCAUAAGCCCACGGGUCGGCAUCGACCAGAGGGAAAAGGAGCAAUCCGCUUUGAGAUGGCCUCGCGUCCGAUUAGCUAGUUGGUGAGGUAAUGGCCCACCAAGGCAACGAUCGGUAGCCGGACUGAGAGGUUGAACGGCCACAUUGGGACUGAGACACAGCCCAGACUCCUACGGGAGGCAGCAUG
rnacentral:rRNA from 1 species